rnacentral:rRNA from 1 species
AUUGAACGCUGGCGGCAUGCUUUACACAUGCAAGUCGAACGGUAACAGGGAGCUUGCUCCGCUGACGAGUGGCGAACGGGUGAGUAAUAUAUCGGAACGUACCCAGAAGUGGGGGAUAACGUAGCGAAAGUUACGCUAAUACCGCAUACGAACCACGGAUGAAAGUAGGGGACCUUCGGGCCUUAAGCUUUUGGAGCGGCCGAUAUCUGAUUAGAUAGUUGGUGAGGUAAAGGAGCACCAAGGCGACGAUCAGUAGCUGGUCUGAGAGGACGACCAGCCACACUGGAACUGAGACACGGUCCAGACUCCUACGGGAGGCAGCAGUGGGGAAUUUUGGACAAUGGGCGCAAGCCUGAUCCAGCAAUGCCGCGUGAGUGAAGAAGGCCUUCGGGUUGUAAAGCUCUUUUGUCAGGGAAGAAACGGCUGUGGCUAAUAUCCACGGCUAAUGACGGUACCUGAAGAAUAAGCACCGGCUAACUACGUGCCAGCAGCCGCGGUAA